GAUGAAAAAAGAAAAGCUCUUGGUUCUGUCCCAACAUUCUGUGGUCAUAUUUUUUUGCUUCCUCUAACAUGGUCAUAUGUUCCUUGAGACGUUUUUUGUCAAGAAAGGAAAUACCAUAAACUCUUUGCAGGCUUUCCCUAUCUGCACUGCCCCUCCAAUAGGAUGAUGAAGCCUUUAAGCAAGUAAAUGCUUUUACAAAUGACGUGUUUGGGAUAUGUGGCCCGCGACAGAGGUCAACUAAAGGACCACAUCUGUAGACAGUGAUCGUCUUGUCCUCAGACAAUUCAUUAAUAAGUUCUACCUUAAAUUUGUUUUCUGCAAAUAUUUCUAGUGCUUGUUUCCGAGAGACUUCAAUUCGUUCAAAAGGUUGCUUUUCCUCAACAGCUUUUU
rnacentral:misc_RNA from 1 species